rnacentral:rRNA from 1 species
GAUGAACGCUGGCGGCGUGCCUAAUACAUGCAAGUCGAGCGAACGGACGAGAAGCUUGCUUCUCUGACGUUAGCGGCGGACGGGUGAGUAACACGUGGAUAACCUACCUAUAAGACUGGGAUAACUUCGGGAAACCGGAGCUAAUACCGGAUAAUAUUUUGAACCGCAUGGUUCAAAAGUGAAAGACGGUCUUGCUGUCACUUAUAGAUGGAUCCGCGCUGCAUUAGCUAGUUGGUAAGGUAACGGCUUACCAAGGCAACGAUGCAUAGCCGACCUGAGAGGGUGAUCGGCCACACUGGAACUGAGACACGGUCCAGACUCCUACGGGAGGCAGCAGUAGGGAAUCUUCCGCAAAGGGCGAAAGCCUGACGGAGCAACGCCGCGUGAGUGAUGAAGGUCUUCGGAUCGUAAAACUCUGUUAUUAGGGAAGAACAUAUGUGUAAGUAACUGUGCACAUCUUGACGGUACCUAAUCAGAAAGCCACGGCUAACUACGUG